UACGUAGGGUGCAAGCGUUGUCCGGAAUUAUUGGGCGUAAAGAGCUCGUAGGCGGUCUGUCGCGUCGGCUGUGAAAUCCCGAGGCUCAACCUCGGGUCUGCAGUCGAUACGGGCAAACUGGAGUGUUGCAGGGGAGACUGGAAUUCCUGGUGUAGCGGUGAAAUGCGUAGAUAUCGAGAGGAACACCUGCGGCGAAGGCGGGUUGCUGGGCUGACACUGACGCUGAUGCGCGAAAGCCAGGGAGCGAACGGG
rnacentral:rRNA from 1 species